rnacentral:lncRNA from 1 species
GGGGGUGGGCUCUAGCUGAGUAGGUGCCAACAUCCCUGCAAGACAGACAUAAUCAUUAGUGUGUAACUCAGGGUCAUGCAGCCCAGCGGAGGUGAUGGGAGAUGAAGGUCAGGGUCCCCAGGCCUCUCCUCUCCUCUGCCACCCAAGGCCAGUUCCUCGGGGUGAGCACUCCUGGGAGCACAGGCCAGCCCCUGACAUCACCCACUCUGGCAUCACCCGUGCUCCAAAUCCCAGUUCACAGCGUGUCCACGCAAUGCCCGCACCCCACACUCCCGAUUUCGCUGCUGUGCCAAAUAUUCCCUCACUCGCUAAGCCGGGUAGUCACCAAGACUGUCGCAGAGAUGGGGGAUGCUCUGGUACCCACGUGGGCAGACGGAAGAACCUAACCCUCAGACGGAAGGAAUUUCACAUCAGAGCCACGAUCAUUCAUGAACCCACAUCGGCUGCCCACUGUGGUGUCCGAGAG